rnacentral:snRNA from 13 species
AGCUUUGCGCAGUGGCAGUAUCAUAGCCAAUGAGGUUUAUCUGUGGCGUGAUUAUUGCUAAUUAAAAUGCAAAGAGAACAAGAGUGUACAGUGAAAAGUCUCUCUGUUAUUCCCAACCCAACCCCCUCUGCUCAGCAGAUUUCUGGUUAUUUAUUUAUUUUACAGAGAUUACAAGUAG